AUUGAACGCUGGCGGCAGGCUUAACACAUGCAAGUCGAGCGGGGUGAUGGUGCUUGCACUAUCACUUAGCGGCGGACGGGUGAGUAAUGCUUAGGAAUCUGCCUAUUAGUGGGGGACAACAUCUCGAAAGGGAUGCUAAUACCGCAUACGUCCUACGGGAGAAAGCAGGGGAUCACUUGUGACCUUGCGCUAAUAGAUGAGCCUAAGUCGGAUUAGCUAGUUGGUGGGGUAAAGGCCUACCAAGGCGACGAUCUGUAGCGGGUCUGAGAGGAUGAUCCGCCACACUGGGACUGAGACGCGGCCCAGACUCCUACGGGAGGCAGCAGUGGGGAAUAUUGGACAAUGGGGGGAACCCUGAUCCAGCCAUGCCGCGUGUGUGAAGAAGGCCUUAUGGUUGUAAAGCACUUUAAGCGAGGAGGAGGCUCUUUUGGUUAAUACCCAAGGUGAGUGGACGUUACUCGCAGAAUAAGCACCGGCUAACUCUGUGCCAGCAGCCGCCGUAA
rnacentral:rRNA from 1 species